GACGAACGCUGGCGGCGUGCCUAAUACAUGCAAGUGGGACGCAAGGGAACACACUGUGCUUGCACACCGUGUUUUCUUGAGUCGCGAACGGGUGAGUAACGCGUAGGUAACCUGCCUAUUAGCGGGGGAUAACUAUUGGAAACGAUAGCUAAUACCGCAUAAUAUUAAUUAUUGCAUGAUAAUUGAUUGAAAGAUGCAAGCGCAUCACUAGUAGAUGGACCUGCGUUGUAUUAGCUAGUUGGUAAGGUAAGAGCUUACCAAGGCGACGAUACAUAGCCGACCUGAGAGGGUGAUCGGCCACACUGGGACUGAGACACGGCCCAGACUCCUACGGGAGGCAGCAGUAGGGAAUCUUCGGCAAUGGACGAAAGUCUGACCGAGCAACGCCGCGUGAGUGAAGAAGGUUUUCGGAUCGUAAAGCUCUGUUGUAAGUCAAGAACGUGUGUGAGAGUGGAAAGUUCACAACAGUGACGGUAGCUACCAGA
rnacentral:rRNA from 1 species